rnacentral:rRNA from 1 species
GACGUAGGUGGCGAGCGUUGUCCGGAAUGACUGGGCGUAAAGGGCGCGUAGGCGGCCGCUUAAGUCUGGGGUGAAAACCCGGGGCUCAACCUUGGGAGUGCCUUGGAUACUGGGCGGCUUGAGCGUCGGAGAGGCAAGGGGAAUUCCAUGUGUAGCGGUGAAAUGCGUAGAGAUAUGGAGGAACACCGGUGGCGAAGGCGCCUUGCUGGCCGAUAGCUGACGCUGAGGCGCGAAAGCGUGGGGAGCAAACAGG